AGCGAACGCUGGCGGCAGGCUUAACACAUGCAAGUCGAACGGGCACUUCGGUGCUAGUGGCAGACGGGUGAGUAACGCGUGGGAACGUGCCUUUCGGUUCGGAAUAAUCCAGGGAAAAUUGGACUAAUACCGGAUACGCCCUUCGGGGGAAAGAUCUAUAGCCGAAAGAUCGGCGCGCGUCUGAUUAGCUAGUUGGUGAGGUAAAGGGUCACCAAGGCGACGAUCAGUAGCUGGUCUGAGAGGAUGAUCAGCCACACUGGGACUGAGACACGGCCCAGACUCCUAAGGGAGGCAGCAGUGGGGAAUAUUGGACAAUGGGCGAAAGCCUGAGGCAGCCAUGCCGCGUGAGUGAUGAAGGCCUUAGGGUUGUAAAGCUCUUUUGUCCGAGAAGAUAAUGACUGUACCGGAAGAAUAAGCCCCGGCUAACUUCGUGCCAGCCGCCGCGGUAAUAC
rnacentral:rRNA from 1 species